AGAGAGAGACAUGCGCGCAUAUCAAUAAGCGGAGGAAAAGAAACUAACUAGGAUUCCCUCAGUAACGGCGAGUGAAGCGGGAAGAGCUCAAAUUUGAAAUCUUCAAGGUUCUACCUUGACGAAUUGUAGUUUAAAGAAGUGUUUUCUGUUGGAGUUUUGGUAAAAGUUCUUUGGAAUAGGACAUCAUAGAGGGUGAGAAUCCCGUAUUUGACCAUUAUUUCCAGCUUUGUGAUACACUUUCAAAGAGUCGGAUUGUUUGGGAAUGCAGUCCAAAAUGGGUGGUAAAUUUCAUCUAAAGCUAAAUAUUGGCGAGAGACCGAUAGCGAACAAGUACCGUGAGGGAAAGAUGAAAAGAACUUUGAAAAGAGAGUUAAACAGUACGUGAAAUUGUCAAAAGGGAAGCGUUUGACACCAGUGUUGUUUUUCCGAAAAUCAAUUACGAAUGUUUUAUUUUUGAGGAGUUAUGACUUCAUCGGCUUGCUCCUUUCUUUAUGAAACUUUCUUAAUGCACUUUUCGGUUAACAAGUCAACAUCAAUUUCUUUUGUUGUAAAGGGGUAUGAGGAAGGUGGCUUUCUUUUCGGAGAAAGUGUUUAUAGCCUUGUGCCUCUGCAAUCGGAGAGAUUGAGGUCUGCAGCGUAGAUCCUUCGGGGUUAGAUACGUUUGUGCUAAGUUAUAGCUUUUCAUAGACAACUUGUUGACUAUGUUUAGUCUUGUAGCUUACUCGCUUAUGCUAUUUUACCUACGCUUAGGAUGUUGAUAGUCACAGCGUGUAC
rnacentral:rRNA from 1 species